UACGUAGGGUGCAAGCGUUAUCCGGAAUUAUUGGGCGUAAAGAGCUCGUAGGCGGUUUGUCGCGUCUGUCGUGAAAGCUUGGGGCUUAACCCCAAGUCUGCGGUGGAUACGGGCAGACUAGAGGCAGGUAGGGGAGAACGGAAUUCCCGGUGUAGCGGUGAAAUGCGCAGAUAUCGGGAGGAACACCGGUGGCGAAGGCGGUUCUCUGGGCCUGUACUGACGCUGAGGAGCGAAAGCGUGGGGAGCGAACAGG
rnacentral:rRNA from 1 species